UAGUGAAAUGAUGGCAAUCAUUUUUUAGGACUGACCUGAAAUGAAGAGAAUACUCAUUCCUGCUCUCUU
ensembl:snoRNA